rnacentral:rRNA from 1 species
UCUAAUACCGGAUAAUACCCCUGCCUGCAUGGGUGGGGGUUGAAAGCUCCGGCGGUGAAGGAUGAGCCCGCGGCCUAUCAGCUUGUUGGUGGGGUAAUGGCCUACCAAGGCGACGACGGG